CAGUCGCCGCGGGAAUACGAGGGGGGCAAGCGUUGUUCGGAAUUAUUGGGCGUAAAGGGUGCGUAGGCGGUUUGAUAAGUCUUGUGUGAAAUCUCUGGGCUCAACCCAGAGUCUGCACAGGAAACUGUCGGGCUUGAGAGUGGGAGAGGUGAGUGGAAUUUCCGGUGUAGCGGUGAAAUGCGUAGAGAUCUGGGGGAAUACCGGUGGCGAAGGCGGCCCCCUGGACAAAGACUGACGCUCAGGUGCGAAAGCGUGGGGAGCAAACAGGAUUAGAUACCCCCGUAGUCCCUGUCUCUUAUAC
rnacentral:rRNA from 1 species